GCUUUUUAUACUUGAAAUAUAUUUUUGCUUUAUUUUUAUUGAUAUAAUUAUAUUUGCACUAAUGAAUUUCUGAAGAAGAUAUUAUAGAUGACAUUUUUUCUAUCUAUAUUUAUUAAGCUUGGUAUCUGGUAGCCCAGUGUUUCCUCUGCACAAAUGUAGAAUCUGAUACAGUAUAAUGUUAAGAAAUCUUGAAUUUUUGAGGGUAACUAACUGUGCUGGUGUCUUCCUUCCUCCUCACCAAGUUUUGAAAAUGGUUGCUUGUCACUGAUUGUGCAUAGUAUACUCAAUGAAGAUUUAGAAAACGACUGAACCUUUAAGAAAUUUUAAAAGGCAUAGUUUAGUCACUUAGUAGAUGAUGAAAUUCUAAAACAAUAUUCUAAAAACAAAAAUUUUUAAGUCUGAAAUUUCAGUGCAGAAUUAGUGGACUGUAAUUCAGCUUUGAACUGAAGAACUUGAAAUGACCUAAAUGUCAGUAUCCUGUGGCAGGUGAUUCCCUUUAUGUUUGCAAAACCAGUUCACAGAGAGACUGCAGCCAUGGUGGAGGGAGGUGG
rnacentral:lncRNA from 1 species